UACAGAGGCUCCAAGCGUUAUCCGGUUUCAUUGGGCGUAAAGCGUUCCGAAGGUUGUUUAGUAUGUCCAAAUUGAAAGACCGCAGCUCAACUGCGUGUUUGGUUUGGAAACUGCUAGACUUGAGGUACAAAAAAGUAGUUGGAACUUUGCAAGUAGAGGUGGAAUUCGUUGAUAUGCAAAGGAACGCCAAAAGCGAAAGCAGACUACUGAGUGUAUUCUGACACUGCUAGGACGAAAGCGUGGGUAGCGAAUAGG
rnacentral:rRNA from 1 species